rnacentral:rRNA from 1 species
CAGCAGCCACGGGAAUACGUAGGGCGCGAGCGUUAAUCGGAAUUACUGGGCGUAAAGCGUGCGCAGGCGGUUAUAUAAGACAGAUGUGAAAUCCCCGGGCUCAACCUGGGACCUGCAUUUGUGACUGUAUAGCUAGAGUACGGUAGAGGGGGAUGGAAUUCCGCGUGUAGCAGUGAAAUGCGUAGAUAUGCGGAGGAACACCGAUGGCGAAGGCAAUCCCCUGGACCUGUACUGACGCUCAUGCACGAAAGCGUGGGGAGCAAACAGGAUUAGAUACCCCUGUAGUCCCUGUCUCUUAUAC